UGAGACACGGUCCAAACUCCUACGGGAGGCAGCAGUGAGGAAUAUUGGUCAAUGGACGAGAGUCUGAACCAGCCAAGUAGCGUGCAGGAUGACGGCCCUAUGGGUUGUAAACUGCUUUUGCGCGGGGAUAACACCCUCCACGUGCUGGAGGUCUGCAGGUACCGCGCGAAUAAGGACCGGCUAAUUCCGUGCCAGCAGCCGCGGUAAUACGGAAGGUCCGGGCGUUAUCCGGAUUUAUUGGGUUUAAAGGGAGCGUAGGCCGUGAGGUAAGCGUGUUGUGAAAUGUAGGCGCCCAACGUCUGCACUGCAGCGCGAACUGCCCCACUUGAGUGCGCGCAACGCCGGCGGAACUCGUCGUGUAGCGGUGAAAUGCUUAGAUAUGACGAAGAACCCCGAUUGCGAAGGCAGCUGGCGGGAGCGUAACUGACGCUGAAGCUCGAAAGCGCGGGUAUCGAACAGGAUUAGAUACCCUGGUAGUCCGCGCGGUAAACGAUGGAUGCCCGCUGUGGCGCGCCUGGCGUGCCGCGGCUAAGCGAAAGCAUUAAGCAUCCCACCUGGGGAGUACGCCGGCAACGGUGAAACUCAAAGGAAUUGACGGGGGCCCGCACAAGCGGAGGAACAUGUGGUUUAAUUCGAUGAUACGCGAGGAACCUUACCCGGGCUUGAACUCAGGAGGAAGUCGGCGGAGACGCCUUCGCCCCUUCGGGGGCCUCCUGGGAGGUGCUGCAUGGUUGUCGUCAGCUCGUGCCGUGAGGUGUCGGCUUAAGUGCCAUAACGAGCGCAACCCCUCUCCGUAGUUGCCAUCGGGUAAUGCCGGGCACUCUGCGGACACUGCCACCGUAAGGUGUGAGGAAGGUGGGGAUGACGUCAAAUCAGCACGGCCCUUACGUCCGGGGCCACACACGUGUUACAAUGGCCGUCACAGAGGGGAGCCGGGCGACCGGCUCAUGAUCCUUAAAAACGGUCUCAGUUCGGACUGGGGUCUGCAACCCGACCCCACGAAGCUGGAUUCGCUAGUAAUCGCGCAUCAGCCAUGGCGCGGUGAAUACGUUCCCGGGCCUUGUACACACCGCCCGUCAAGCCAUGAAAGCCGGGGGUACCUGAAGUGCGUAACCGCAAGGAGCGCCCUAGGGUAAAACUGGUGACUGGGGCUAAGUCGUAACAAGGUAGCCGUACCGGAAGGUGCGGCUG
rnacentral:rRNA from 1 species